GCCUGGGUGGCUCAGUUGGUUAAGCAUCUGACUUCAGUUCAGGUCAUGAUCCCAGGGUCCUGGAAUCGAGUCCCGGGUCAGGCU
rnacentral:tRNA from 1 species